GAUGAACGCUAGCUACAGGCUUAACACAUGCAAGUCGCGGGGCAGCAUGGGGGUUGUUUGCAAUCCCCGAUGGCGACCGGCGCACGGGUGAGUAACGAGUAUCCAACCUGCCCUUCCCCACGGGAUAACCCGGCGAAAGUCGGACUAAUACCGUAUGUUGUCCAUUGACGGCAUCCGAUUUGGACGAAAGGUUCGGCGGCGACGGAUGGGGAUGCGUCCGAUUAGCUGGACGGCGGGGUGACGGCCCACCGUGGCGACGAUCGGUAGGGGUUCUGAGAGGAAGGUCCCCCACACUGGAACUGAGACACGGUCCAGACUCCUACGGGAGGCAGCAGUGAGGAAUAUUGGUCAAUGGGCGUAAGCCUGAACCAGCCAAGUAGCGUGCAGGAUGACGGCCCUAUGGGUUGUAAACUGCUUUUAUGCGGGGAUAAAGUGGCCCACGUGUGGGUUUUUGCAGGUACCGCAUGAAUAAGGACCGGCUAAUUCCGUG
rnacentral:rRNA from 1 species